rnacentral:rRNA from 1 species
UACGGGGGGAGCAAGCGUUGUUCGGAUUUACUGGGCGUAAAGGGCGCGUAGGCGGCUUGCACCGUCAGAUGUGAAAUUCCUGGGCUUAACCUGGGGGCUGCAUUUGAUACGUGUGGGCUUGAGUGCGGAAGAGGGUCGUGGAAUUCCCAGUGUAGAGGUGAAAUUCGUAGAUAUUGGGAAGAACACCGGUGGCGAAGGCAGCCCCCUGGGCUGACACUGACGCUCAGGCACGAAAGCGUGGGGAGCAAACAGG